AAUGAACGCUGGCGGCAGGCCUAACACAUGCAAGUCGAACGGAUCCUUCGGGAUUAGUGGCGGACGGGUGAGUAACGCGUGGGAACAUACCCUUUGGUACGGAAUAGCCUCGGGAAACUGGGAGUAAUACCGUAUGUGGUCGAGAGACGAAAGAUUUAUCGCCAAAGGAUUGGCCCGCGUUGGAUCAGGUAGUUGGUGGGGUAAUGGCCUACCAAGCCGACGAUCCAUAGCUGGUUUGAGAGGAUGAUCAGCCACACUGGGACUGAGACACGGCCCAGACUCCUACGGGAGGCAGCAGUGGGGAAUCUUAGACAAUGGGGGAAACCCUGAUCUAGCCAUGCCGCGUGAUCGAUGAAGGCCUUAGGGUUGUAAAGAUCUUUCAGGUGGGAAGAUAAUGACUGUACCACCAGAAGAAGCCCCGGCCAACUCCGUGCCAGCCGCCGCGGUAA
rnacentral:rRNA from 1 species